rnacentral:misc_RNA from 1 species
CUCUAAUGCUUCAGGAAUAGUUCCGGCGAUUUGAUUUGCUCCAAAAUAUAGGUUGGUAAGUUUAAUUGACAGAUUGGCUAUAGAGCUGGGCAAAAUACCUCCGAAAUUGUUGAAAGUGAAAUCUAAGAUUUCAAGAUUGCUGCAGUUUGUCAAAGAUGUUAAAAAGGCCAAGUCACCUGUGGAAUUAUAUCCUAGAUUAUU